AGGGCGCACGGUGGAUGCCUUGGCACUAGAAGCCGAUGAAGGACGUUACUAACGACGAUAUGCUUUGGGGAGCUGUAAGUAAGCUUUGAUCCAGAGAUUUCCGAAUGGGGAAACCCAGCAUGAGUUAUGUCAUGUUAUCGAUAUGUGAAUACAUAGCAUAUCAGAAGGCACACCCGGAGAACUGAAACAUCUUAGUACCCGGAGGAAGAGAAAGAAAAUUCGAUUCCCUUAGUAGCGGCGAGCGAAACGGGAAGAGCCCAAACCAACAAGCUUGCUUGUUGGGGUUGUAGGACACUCUAUACGGAGUUACAAAGGACGACAUUAGACGAAUCAUCUGGAAAGAUGAAUCAAAGAAGGUAAUAAUCCUGUAGUCGAAAAUGUUGUCUCUCUUGAGUGGAUCCUGAGUACGACGGAGCACGUGAAAUUCCGUCGGAAUCUGGGAGGACCAUCUCCUAAGGCUAAAUACUCUCUAGUGACCGAUAGUGAACCAGUACCGUGAGGGAAAGGUGAAAAGCACCCCGGAAGGGGAGUGAAAUAGAACCUGAAACCGUGUGCUUACAAGUAGUCAGAGCCCGUUAAUGGGUGAUGGCGUGCCUUUUGUAGAAUGAACCGGCGAGUUACGAUUUGAUGCAAGGUUAAGCAGUAAAUGUGGAGCCGUAGCGAAAGCGAGUCUGAAUAGGGCGUUUAGUAUUUGGUCGUAGACCCGAAACCAGGUGAUCUACCCUUGGUCAGGUUGAAGUUCAGGUAACACUGAAUGGAGGACCGAACCGACUUACGUUGAAAAGUGAGCGGAUGAACUGAGGGUAGCGGAGAAAUUCCAAUCGAACCUGGAGAUAGCUGGUUCUCUCCGAAAUAGCUUUAGGGCUAGCCUCAAGUGAUGAUUAUUGGAGGUAGAGCACUGUUUGGACGAGGGGCCCCUCUCGGGUUACCGAAUUCAGACAAACUCCGAAUGCCAAUUAAUUUAACUUGGGAGUCAGAACAUGGGUGAUAAGGUCCGUGUUCGAAAGGGAAACAGCCCAGACCACCAGCUAAGGUCCCAAAAUAUAUGUUAAGUGGAAAAGGAUGUGGCGUUGCCCAGACAACUAGGAUGUUGGCUUAGAAGCAGCCAUCAUUUAAAGAGUGCGUAAUAGCUCACUAGUCGAGUGACACUGCGCCGAAAAUGUACCGGGGCUAAACAUAUUACCGAAGCUGUGGAUUGUCCUUUGGACAAUGGUAGGAGAGCGUUCUAAGGGCGUUGAAGCAUGAUCGUAAGAACAUGUGGAGCGCUUAGAAGUGAGAAUGCCGGUGUGAGUAGCGAAAGACGGGUGAGAAUCCCGUCCACCGAUUGACUAAGGUUUCCAGAGGAAGGCUCGUCCGCUCUGGGUUAGUCGGGUCCUAAGCUGAGGCCGACAGGCGUAGGCGAUGGAUAACAGGUUGAUAUUCCUGUACCACCUAUAAUCGUUUUAAUCGAUGGGGGGACGCAGUAGGAUAGGCGAAGCGUGCGAUUGGAUUGCACGUCUAAGCAGUAAGGCUGAGUAUUAGGCAAAUCCGGUACUCGUUAAGGCUGAGCUGUGAUGGGGAGAAGACAUUGUGUCUUCGAGUCGUUGAUUUCACACUGCCGAGAAAAGCCUCUAGAUAGAAAAUAGGUGCCCGUACCGCAAACCGACACAGGUAGUCAAGAUGAGAAUUCUAAGGUGAGCGAGCGAACUCUCGUUAAGGAACUCGGCAAAAUGACCCCGUAACUUCGGGAGAAGGGGUGCUCUUUAGGGUUAACGCCCAGAAGAGCCGCAGUGAAUAGGCCCAAGCGACUGUUUAUCAAAAACACAGGUCUCUGCUAAACCGUAAGGUGAUGUAUAGGGGCUGACGCCUGCCCGGUGCUGGAAGGUUAAGAGGAGUGGUUAGCUUCUGCGAAGCUACGAAUCGAAGCCCCAGUAAACGGCGGCCGUAACUAUAACGGUCCUAAGGUAGCGAAAUUCCUUGUCGGGUAAGUUCCGACCCGCACGAAAGGCGUAACGAUUUGGGCACUGUCUCAACGAGAGACUCGGUGAAAUCAUAGUACCUGUGAAGAUGCAGGUUACCCGCGACAGGACGGAAAGACCCCGUGGAGCUUUACUGUAGCCUGAUAUUGAAAUUCGGCACAGCUUGUACAGGAUAGGUAGGAGCCUUUGAAACGUGAGCGCUAGCUUACGUGGAGGCGCUGGUGGGAUACUACCCUAGCUGUGUUGGCUUUCUAACCCGCACCACUUAUCGUGGUGGGAGACAGUGUCAGGCGGGCAGUUUGACUGGGGCGGUCGCCUCCUAAAAGGUAACGGAGGCGCUCAAAGGUUCCCUCAGAAUGGUUGGAAAUCAUUCAUAGAGUGUAAAGGCAUAAGGGAGCUUGACUGCGAGACCUACAAGUCGAGCAGGGUCGAAAGACGGACUUAGUGAUCCGGUGGUUCCGCAUGGAAGGGCCAUCGCUCAACGGAUAAAAGCUACCCCGGGGAUAACAGGCUUAUCUCCCCCAAGAGUUCACAUCGACGGGGAGGUUUGGCACCUCGAUGUCGGCUCAUCGCAUCCUGGGGCUGUAGUCGGUCCCAAGGGUUGGGCUGUUCGCCCAUUAAAGCGGUACGCGAGCUGGGUUCAGAACGUCGUGAGACAGUUCGGUCCCUAUCCGUCGUGGGCGUAGGAAAUUUGAGAGGAGCUGUCCUUAGUACGAGAGGACCGGGAUGGACAUACCUCUGGUGUACCAGUUGUCGUGCCAACGGCAUAGCUGGGUAGCUAUGUGUGGACGGGAUAAGUGCUGAAAGCAUCUAAGCAUGAAGCCCCCCUCAAGAUGAGAUUUCCCAACUUCGGUUAU
rnacentral:rRNA from 1 species